rnacentral:sRNA from 1 species
GAUGAAGCGAGGAGGUAAAUUAUGAAGAGGUCUACCGCACGUCAGUUUUAUCAGCACUAUUUUUCAGCGACAAAGGGAGUGUCCUGGCUGGCCCGCCAGUGCGCAGAGCAGCGGCUGAGAAUACUGGAAGAUCUGAUGCAGUGGGACGUUACGAAACCGACCUCUUCUCGCUAACUCGCCUCGAUCAUGUGUGACUGAGUAUUGGUGCUAAUCACCCGCCAGCAAAAUGUUUUUUGCUGGCUUUUUUC